UUCCAUUCCAGCAUUCCCCCGUCCACCACACCUCCAAAACUCCUACGGACAUCGUCUCGGACGCCGAGCAAACCGAUCGAGCUGAUCGAUCUGCAAGGGAUCUGCUCCUCCGUCCCCAACCAGGAUCCUUGUACCUUGCUCCCAGGCCCUUAGUGAGGAGGAGCUGAUCGACGCCCCGGACGCGCAGAGGACCCAGAAGGACGUACCAGACUACGAGAUGACUCCGAAGACCUAGGACGACUACGAGAAGUCUCAGUUUGGUAGAUGCAGGAUCCGACUCGAAGAUCGACGAUGACUUUGAAGGAAGGACUAAGGACGACUCGUGCUUCGCUCAAGUUUGCCUGUGGAUGAAAGAAGAUGUCAAGAUGAAGGAUGCCCCAGAAGUCUAGCUACCGCUUCCGUUUUCUGGUUGUUCCCUUUUAGCCCAAUGGGCAUGUACCAGAUGAUUUCGUACCACAAUCCGUUGGAUUAUGUAAUAAUUAAACCUUUGUUGUGUUU